GGGGAAUAUUGCACAAUGGGCGAAAGCCUGAUGCAGCAACGCCGCGUGAGUGAAGAAGGCCUUUGGGUCGUAAAGCUCUUUCGGCCGAGAAGAAGGGUAUUACGGUGAACAAUCGUGGUAUUUGACGGUAUCGGAAGAAGAAGCACCGGCUAACUACGUGCCAGCAGCCGCGGUAAUACGUAGGGUGCAAGCGUUGUUCGGAAUCACUGGGCGUAAAGGGCGCGUAGGCGGGUUUGUAAGUCGAUUGUGAAAUCCCAAGGCUUAACCUUGGAGCUGCAGUCGAAACUGCAAGUCUUGAAUGUCUGAGAGGGUGGGAGAAUUCCUGGUGUAGUAGUGAAAUACGUAGAUAUCAGGAGGAAUACCGGCGGCGAAGGCGCCUACCUGGCAGUACAUUGACGCUGAGGCGCGAAAGCGUGGGGAGCAAAC
rnacentral:rRNA from 1 species